GCAUUGAAACAAAGAUGGUGUUUACACAUACAGAUGGAGUUUACCACCACUGAGCACAGUGGGCUUUUGCUCUUCAAUGGACGACUGGCAUUAUCAUUGUUGACGACUGUAAACUUGCAGUGGCAGUGAAUUUUGGGACCAAAGCAGCCUCCGUCCCAUAUGCCACAUCACAGCAACUUCAAAUUAAAGAUGAAUCUGAAAAUUACAGGAGGGCUGACUGUCUACCAUCAUCACUCGAUUCGAAGGCAGAGGAGAGGAAAUAUGUUUCCAAUGUCCUAAAGGCAAAUGGCUAUACAAAAACUCUUCUCCGUAACUGCCAAAAACCAGUUACAAAUAGUAACGCUCUUGAUGAAAGUUCUUAUUAGCUCAGGAAUUAGCCAAAGAAGAUCCUAAAAAAAUGGAAGAAUUUUUCACGAUUUUAUUUCAAAAAUGAAUUUUGUAAAUUUUUGGAUUUUUUAAUAGGUGAGCUUUCUGAAGAAGAGCAUGCACAUAUUGCGCAGAGGAUUGGAUUAUCGUUGUUUAGGAGGUUAGCUCCACGACUAGGCCUAACUAGUAGUAAACUGGAAUGUUUAGAAAACGAGGUCAUGUGUCUGGAGUGUUAUAAUGCGGAUAAAUAAAAUGUGUGUAAAUUGAAA